GAGGGUAUAGCUCAAUGGUAGAGCACAUGCUUAGCUUAGGUGCUGGGUUCAAUCCUCAGUACCUCCA
rnacentral:tRNA from 1 species